GAUGAAGAACGCAGUGAAAUGCGAUAAGUAAUGUGAAUUGCAGAAUUCAGUGAAUCAUCGAAUCUUUGAACGCACAUUGCGCCGCUUGGUAUUCCGAGGGGCAUGCCUGUUCGAGCGUCAUUAUAACCCCUCAAGCUCAGCUUGGUGUUGGGGCCUGCUGCACUGGCAGCCCUUAAAAUCAGUGGCGGCGCCAUCUGGCUCUAAGCGUAGUAAUUCUUCUCGCUAUGGAGUCCUGGUGGAUGCUUGCCAUCAACCCCCAAUUUUUCUAUGGUUGACCUCGGAUCAGGUAGGGAUACCCGCUGAACUUAAGCAUAUCAAUAAGCGGAGGA
rnacentral:misc_RNA from 1 species